rnacentral:rRNA from 1 species
UACGUAGGGUGCGAGCGUUACUCGGAAUUACUGGGCGUAAAGCGUGCGUAGGCGGUUUGUUAAGUCCGCUGUGAAAGCCCUGGGCUCAACCUGGGAAUUGCAGUGGAUACUGGCAAGCUAGAGUGCGGUAGAGGAUGGUGGAAUUCCCGGUGUAGCGGUGAAAUGCGUAGAGAUCGGGAGGAACACCCGUGGCGAAGGCGACUUUCUGGCUCGAAAACUGACGCUGAGGCGCGAAAGCUAGGGGAGCGAACAGG